UACAGAGGGUGCAAGCGUUGUUCGGAAUUAUUGGGCGUAAAGCGCGUGUAGGCGGCUUUGCAAGUCGGGUGUGAAAGCCCUCAGCUCAACUGAGGAAGUGCGCCCGAAACUGCAGAGCUUGAGUGCCGGAGAGGGUGGCGGAAUUCCCCAAGUAGAGGUGAAAUUCGUAGAUAUGGGGAGGAACACCGGUGGCGAAGGCGGCCAACUGGACGGUAACUGACGCUGAGACGCGAAAGCGUGGGUAGCAAACAGG
rnacentral:rRNA from 1 species